rnacentral:rRNA from 1 species
GAUGAACGCUGGCGGCGUGCCUAAUACAUGCAAGUCGAGCGAACAGACGAGGAGCUUGCUCCUCUGACGUUAGCGGCGGACGGGUGAGUAACACGUGGAUAACCUACCUAUAAGACUGGGAUAACUUCGGGAAACCGGAGCUAAUACCGGAUAAUAUCUUGAACCGCAUGGUUCAAUAGUGAAAGACGGUUUUGCUGUCACUUAUAGAUGGAUCCGCGCCGCAUUAGCUAGUUGGUAAGGUAACAGCUUACCAAGGCAACGAUGCGUAGCCGACCUGAGAGGGUGAUCGGCCACACUGGAACUGAGACACGGUCCAGACUCCUACGGGAGGCAGCAGUAGGGAAUCUGCCGCAAUGGGCGAAAGCCUGACGGAGCAACGCCGCGUGAGUGAUGAAGGUCUUCGGAUCGUAAAACUCUGUUAUUAGGGAAGAACAAAUGUGUAAGUAACUAUGCACGUCUUGACGGUACCUAAUCAGAAAGCCACGGCUAACUACGUG